rnacentral:misc_RNA from 1 species
GAUGAAGAACGUAGCGAAAUGCGAUACGUAAUGUGAAUUGCAGAAUUCAGUGAAUCAUCGAAUCUUUGAACGCAUAUUGCGCUCUCUGGUAUUCCGGAGAGCAUGCUUGUUUGAGUAUCAGUAAACACCUCAACUCCCUUUUCUUUUUUGAAAUUGGAGCUGGACUUGAGUGAUCCCAACGCUUUCUUCCAAGAAAGUGGCGGGUUGCUUGAAAUUCAGGUGCAGCUGAACUUUUCUCUGAGCUAUAAGCAUAUCUAUUUAGUCUGCCUAAAAAACAGAUUAUUACCUUUGCUGCAGCUAACAUAAAGGAGACUAGUUCUUGUGCUGACUGAUGCAGGAUUCACAGAGACAGCUUCGGCUGACUUUGUAAACUCGAUCUCAAAUCAAGUAAGACUACCCGCUGAACUUAAGCAUAUCAAUAAGCGGAGGA